rnacentral:rRNA from 1 species
AUUGAACGCUGGCGGCAGGCCUAACACAUGCAAGUCGAGCGGAAGGUUCUUCGGAACCGAGAGCGGCGGACGGGUGAGGAAUGCAUCGGAAUCUGCCUCGUUGUGGGGGAUAACGUAGGGAAACUUACGCUAAUACCGCAUACGACCUACGGGUGAAAGUGGGGGACCUUCGGGCCUCACGCGAUGAGAUGAGCCGAUGCCGGAUUAGCUAGUUGGCGGGGUAAAGGCCCACCAAGGCGACGAUCCGUAGCUGGUCUGAGAGGAUGAUCAGCCACACUGGAACUGAGACACGGUCCAGACUCCUACGGGAGGCAGCAGUGGGGAAUAUUGGACAAUGGGGGCAACCCUGAUCCAGCCAUGCCGCGUGUGUGAAGAAGGCCUCGG